rnacentral:tRNA from 1 species
UGAGCGGAAGCCAAAAAGGCACCUAUCUGUUAAUUAGUCUCCCGCCGGAUCGCCGGCCCGCUCAG